UACGUAGGUGGCAAGCGUUAUCCGGAUUUAUUGGGCGUAAAGCGAGCGCAGGCGGUUUUUUAAGUCUGAUGUGAAAGCCUUCGGCUUAACCGAAGAAGUGCAUCGGAAACUGGGAAACUUGAGUGCAGAAGAGGACAGUGGAACUCCAUGUGUAGCGGUGAAAUGCGUAGAGAUCGGAAAGAACACCAACGGCGAAAGCACUCUGCUGGGCCGACACUGACACUGAGAGACGAAAGCUAGGGGAGCAAAU
rnacentral:rRNA from 1 species